CGGGGUGCAGCAGGCGCGAAAACUUUACCAUGCUGGAAACAGCGAUAAGGGGACCUCGAGUGCCAGGUUACAAAUCUGGCUGUCGUGAUGCCUAAAAAGCAUUGCAUAGCAAGGGCCGGGCAAGACCGGUGCCAGCCGCCGCGGUAACACCGGCGGCUCGAGUGGUAACCGUUAUUAUUGGGUCUAAAGGGUCUGUAGCCGGCCGGAUAAGUCUCUUGGGAAAUCCAGCAGCUCAACUGUUGGGCUUUCAGGAGAUACUGUCUGGCUCGAGGCCGGGAGAGGUGAGAGGUACUUCAGGGGUAGGGGUGAAAUCUUGUAAUCCUUGAAGGACCACCAGUGGCGAAGGCGUCUCACCAGAACGGACCUGACGGCAAGGGACGAAAGCUAGGGGCACGAACCGGAUUAGAUACCCGGGUAGUCCUAGCCGUAAACGAUACUCGCUAGGUGUCGGCCACGGUGCGACCGUUGUCGGUGCCGUAGGGAAGCCGUGAAGCGAGCCACCUGGGAAGUACGGCCGCAAGGCUGAAACUUAAAGGAAUUGGCGGGGGAGCAC
rnacentral:rRNA from 1 species